AUUGAACGCUGGCGGCAGGCCUAACACAUGCAAGUCGAGCGGAGCGGCGGACGGGUGAGUAAUGCCUAGGAAUCUGACUGGCAGUGGGGGAUAAAGUCCGGCAACGGGCGCUAAUACCGACUACUAUCCGAUGAGCCUGGGUCGGAUUAGCUAGUUGGUGGGGUAAAGGCCUACCAAGGCGACGAACCGUACCUGGUCUGAGAGGAUGAUCAGCCACACUGGAACUGAGACACGGUCCAGACUCCUACGGGAGGCAGCAGUGGGGAAUAUUGGACAAUGGGCGAAAGCCUGAUCCAGCCAUGCCGCGUGUGUGAAGAAGGUCUUCGGAUUGUAAAGCACUUUAAGUUGGGAGGCGUUACCAACAGAAUAAGCACCGGCUAACUCCGUGCCAGCAGCCGCGGUAAUUC
rnacentral:rRNA from 1 species